rnacentral:rRNA from 1 species
CGUAGGUGGCAAGCGUUAUCCGGAAUUAUUGGGCGUAAAGCGCGCGUAGGCGGCGAGAUUAGUCUGAUGUGAAAGCCCCCGGCUCAACCGGGGAAGGUCAUUGGGAAACUGUUUCGCUUGAGUGCAGAAGAGGAGAGUGGAAUUCCAUGUGUAGCGGUGAAAUGCGCAGAGAUAUGGAGGAACACCAGUGGCGAAGGCGGCUCUCUGGUCUGCAACUGACGCUGAUGUGCGAAAGCGUGGGAUCAAACAGGAUU